CUCCCUGUGUCUGGUAGGCAGUGUACUGUUAGCUGGCUGCUUUGUGUGAAUCUAGCAGUCUCUACUACACUGUCACCUGCUGCAGGGACA
rnacentral:pre_miRNA from 1 species